GUAGGGAAUAUUGCGCAAUGGACGAAAGUCUGACGCAGCGACUCCGCGUGAGUGAUGAAUGCCUUAGGGUCGUAAAGCUCUGUUGAAUGGGAAGAAAAAAAUGACGGUACCAUUCGAGGAAGGACCGGCUAACUUCGUGCCAGCAGCCGCGGUAAUACGAGGUGUCCUAGCGUUGUUCGGAAUCAUUGGGCGUAAAGGGUGUGUAGGUGGCCAUGUAAGACAGGUGUGAAAGCCCCGGGCUCAACCCGGGAAGUGCACUUGAUACUGCGUGGCUUGAGUACCGAAGAGGGUAGUGGAAUUCCAGGUGUAGUUGUGAAAUACGUAGAUAUCUGGAGGAACACCGGUGGCGAAGGCGGCUACCUGGUCGAGUACUGACACUGAGACACGAAAGCAUGGGGAUCAAACAGGAUUAGAUACCCUAGUAGUCC
rnacentral:rRNA from 1 species